rnacentral:rRNA from 1 species
GAUGAAUGCUGGCGGCGCGCCUAACACAUGCAAGUCGAGCGGUAACAGGGGUAGUUUACUACCUGCUGACGAGCGGCGGACGGCUGAGUAACGCGUGGGAACAUGCCCCAAAGUGAGGAAUAAGCUCAAGAAAUUGAGUCUAAUGCCGCAUAUGAUCUUCGGAUUAAAGGAUUUAUCCGCUUUGGGAGUGGCCUGCGUACGAUUAGAUAGUUGGUGAGGUAAUGGCUCACCAAGUCGACGAUCGUUAACUGUUCUGAGAGGAUGAUCAGUCAGACUGGAACUGAGACACGGUCCAGACUCCUACGGGAGGCAGCAGUGAGGAAUCUUCCACAAUGGGCGAAAGCCUGAUGGAGCGACGCCGCGUGCAGGAUGAAGGCCUUCGGGUUGUAAACUGCUUUUAUAAG